rnacentral:snRNA from 1 species
GGAUGUGAGGGAGAUCUAGCUGCUACAUCUGUCACCUCAUUGAUGGCUAGGGUUGAUUCGGGUGAUCUGGCUGGCUAGGCGGUGGCCCCCUCCUCCCUCUCCACUCCAUAUGCGUCCCUCCCGAACGCGCUGGGUGGAACGGGACGACCUUCCCGGCUAGAGGAAGACCGUUGUUCUCUGCUCAAGGGUAUAGGAGUAGCUGUGCUCCCCUGCUAAAACCUCCAAACAAGCUCUCAAUAACUAAAAUCAUUCAUAACGGAGUAUCAACACAAAUUUGACAUAAGCACUUUCUGUGAAUAAAU